AGAGGAAAAAAUGAUGCGCAUAGAUUUCAAGUCUCAUCUUUUUGCAAAUUAAAAAAAAAUGGAAAUUUAAAUAUAUAAUUCAGAGUAAUCUGCUGAUUAGAAGGUGGUCAAAUCGAGGCCCUGGUCAUGGUCUACAGUGGCCUUUGUGGACCUGUCCAGAAUGACAGCUGACCCUUAGAUCCACUGAUGCUGCUGUGGCCGGCUCCCAGAGGAGGCGACAUCGCCGGUGUCUCCUUCCCUCGCUGCUCUCACAAUAGAGAUGAAGCCGCCUCUAACAUGAAGUCCAGCAAAAUUUGAAAACUCUCCCGUAAUUUUGGCCAAUAGAAACAAGAGGAUGGAGGGCCAAACACAUAACUGACAUCCCUUUGUCCUGCCUGGUGAAUCCUAUACUCACUCCCAAAAUUUAAGUUGCCAUGGAAUCAAGGAAGGAAGUGAAAAACAUGACACGCAGUCUUGAUGGACCUGCUAUCCCUAGGAAGUUCUUAGACUUAACUUUAACUUCAUCUUUGUUAAAUCUCCAUGUCAGCCAAGGAAACCCUCCCUCUGCUUUCUCGCCUGGCCUUGCCCAAUGUCUUCGAUGCUUUCAAUCGUCCCUCUCUGAGAGUCCUCUCCACUCAGCUCCGAUUGUCAGAUUUAUUUCACCGUACAUAGCCCAGUUCAAAUUCUUUAGUGUUAUUUAAAUACAAAAGAUUGUUACAAUGUAAAUGUGCAUAACGUAAAAAUUAAUAAUCUUUGCAUCGCCAAUCCACCAGAAAAGCAACAGUUUUUAACUGAUACAUAUCUAUGUUUUUCUACAUUUACACUAAUACAUACAAGCAUACGUGAACAUAUAAAGACACUUUUUUAGGUGUCUGUAGUAUGUAAUGUAUCCUGUACACUGGCAGAAGUCACUGUAGAUAAAUCUACAUCAUUCUUUUUAGUAGAUACAAUUUGUUCCAUAGUGUGGACAUGCAUAACUAAUGCAACCAGCCCUUUAUUGAUUGAUCUCCAGGUUAUUUCUGGUUUUACUAUUUUUAAAUUUCUGUGAUAACUAUUCUUGCCCAUAUAUCUUUAUAUAUAUUAAUGCUUUUAUUUCCAGGGCAUAGAGUCCUCAAAGUAGGGAUCUGACUCAGUCUCUGGAUUGUUAAAGUCCUUGAUGUCUCCAUAAUUUAUUUGACUCCCAUAUAUUUUCAUAAAAUGAUAAUAACAGCUGAUAAUUACUGAGCAAAUACCAAAGUCCAAGUAUUUGUUAACGACUUUGUAAGCAUCUCAUUUAAUCCUCACAGCAGCUCCUGAGAUACACGUGAUUAUGAUCUCUGUCUUACAGAAGACAAAACUAAGACACUGUGGUCAACAAAGCAGAUACUUCUCUGCUCUCACGGAGCACGUGGGAGGCGCCCCUGGAAUCACUUGAUAUGGCGGUGACCGGUCUGACAGGUGCUAUGCGGGGAGGGGAGCUGUGAGGGCUCAUUCCAGGGUCCUGAGAGUCAGGACAAUCGGGGAGGUGUCCCUGAAGAGUGAGCUUCAGCCGAGGCAGGUGGAUAAAUAAAAGCAGAGCUGGCUCGGGGCGGGAUGGGGAGAGCAGUGUCAGUGCACAGAGAAUCGCACGCCUGAGGCUCAGGCACGGACGUGAGCAUGUCUCAAAGGCCCACAGGAAGGCCAGUGACACCAGGGCACAGAAAGGGUACAGGGUAAGGAGCCAGGCCAAAUUAGAUUUCAGCCAGGUUCUGAACUUCACUGUAAGAUCAGCGGGAAGUGACCAAAGCAUUUAAACAAGAGGGAUUUGUUGUGGAAAACUCAUCCUCCUCUUUGCUGACAUCCCUGCUCCAUACAGCCCUAAAGAGAGAGGCAGAUUGUGGUAAAAGAGAGAGAACUCAGGCCUAGAGAUAAAAGGGUGGGUAACACAGGCUCCCACAGCCUCAGUUUCCUCAGCAGUAGAACAUCUGUACGUAGAGGUGCUAUGAAGACUUCGCUAGCUUGUGUAUGUAUCUGGAAUUUAGCAGGCACCAAAUACAGGUUGAUUUUCUUCUUAUUUCCAUCCUGCUUAGGCUUAUUGCUCUCCACCUCUACGAAGUCUCUUUGUCUGGCCAAAACCUCCCCCAGGCUCCACUUUUGCCUGCUUUUCAUCCUCUGGCGCUUACAGCUGCAGAAUCCUCUGUCUCAGCCUCCCCUACUUACACCAAGCCAGACUCAUGAACAUCAUGUGCCAGUGGAACUAACAGAGAAGCACAGUGUGGUGGCUGGACCAUGCACUCAGAGUCACAGUGCCACCUUGGACGGCCAGCCCUCCAGGGUCCAUGGUAAAGUUGGAAAAUUUUCCAUAAUACCUCGCACCCUUGUCUAGUCUCUCUGCCCUUGGUGGAUUCCCUCCUCUUCCCACCGAGUCUGUUCCUGUUAUCUUCUCACCGCUUGUAUUAAGAGACCGACCAACAACAAAUAAAGGGCAGAGAUGGAAGAAGCAGAUGAGAAGGUGAUGCAAAUGAGGACAACAUUAUGAAUCCCAUGGAGGAGACGGUUGCCGGGGACAGUCUGGUGCCACUCCAUAGAAACUGCUCCAGUGAGUGUGACCAAAGAUCCCUUAACUGCCAAUUCAUAGUGCCCUUUCCCUGGUUAUCUUAUACCUGAUCACUCUGUACCCUACCCUCUUCAGUUUUUUAAGUUUUUCUGAUUGUAAAGUGUGAAGUUUAUUCUAGAGAAUUUUGUACACUUGGAAAAUUUUAAAUAAAAAAAAAAAACUUCUCUGGAUCCAUCAUA